rnacentral:rRNA from 1 species
AUACGUAGGGGGCGAGCGUUGUCCGGAAUGAUUGGGCGUAAAGGGCGCGUAGGCGGCCCGGUAAGUCUGGAGUGAAAGUCCUGUUUUUAAGAUGGGAAUUGCUUUGGAUACUGUCGGGCUUGAGUGCAGGAGAGGUUAGUGGAAUUCCCAGUGUAGCGGUGAAAUGCGUAGAGAUUGGGAGGAACACCAGUGGCGAAGGCGACUUACUGGACUAUAACUGACGCUGAGGCGCGAAAGUGUGGGGAGCAAACAGGAUUAGAUACCCUGGUAGUCCACACUGUAAACGAUGAAUGCUAGGUGUAGGGGGUAUCGACCCCUUCUGUGCCGCAGUCAACACAAUAAGCAUUCCGCCUGGGGAGUACGGCCGCAAGGUUGAAACUCAAAGGAAUUGACGGGG